rnacentral:rRNA from 1 species
CGGGUGAGUAACACGUAGGCAACCUGCCCUCAAGUUUGGGACAACUACCGGAAACGGUAGCUAAUACCGAAUANUUGUUUUCUUCGCCUGAAGNAAACUGGAAAGACGGAGCAAUCUGUCACUUGGGGAUGGGCCUGCGGCGCAUUAGCUAGUUGGUGGGGUAACGGCUCACCAAGGCGACGAUGCGUAGCCGACCUGAGAGGGUGAUCGGCCACACUGGGACUGAGACACGGCCCAGACUCCUACGGGAGGCAGCAGUAGGGAAUCUUCCGCAAUGGGCGAAAGCCUGACGGAGCAAUGCCGCGUGAGUGAUGAAGGUUUUCGGAUCGUAAAGCUCUGUUGCCAGGGAAGAACGCUUGGGAGAGUAACUGCUCUCAAGGUGACGGUACCUGAGAAGAAAGCCCCGGCUAACUACGUGC